rnacentral:rRNA from 1 species
UACGGGGGGAGCAAGCGUUGUUCGGAUUUACUGGGCGUAAAGGGCGCGUAGGCGGUCAGCACAAGUCAGUUGUGAAAUCUCCGGGCUUAACUCGGAAAGGUCAACUGAUACUGUGCGACUAGAGUGCAGAAGGGGCAACUGGAAUUCUCGGUGUAGCGGUGAAAUGCGUAGAUAUCUGGAGGAACACCGGUGGCGAAGGCGGCGUCCUGGACCAACACUGACACUGAGGAGCGAAAGCCAGGGGAGCAAACGGG